rnacentral:lncRNA from 13 species
GUGUCGUCUAGUCGAGCCGAAAGCCGUGCGGUCUAGUUGGAAUUCGUCGAGUGCCGAAUAUAAUAAGUAAUUUCAACAGACAUCACAAUGUUCGCUUAUGUCAAAUUUGAAGACGGACAUAAAAGUAUUAUCAAAACGUCGGAAAUAAAACAUUUUAAACCAGACUGUGUAAAUCAAAGAAAAAAAUAUAAGAUUCGUUGGGAGGAUGAAGACUUCUACGACGCAUUGAUCAUUGAUGUAGCUG